UCUUGAGUUUUAACCUCUUUCUUUUAAGAAUAGCUUCAUGGGAUGAAAGCCAUCUCUUUGCAUAUCUUAGAUUGAGCAGAUUGGUAGGUGUUCUAUAGUCAUUGAUUUUAAUUAGGGAAUAUUGUAUUUAAGUUACUUUCUUCUAACCCACAUUUCACAGGAAAUGCUUUAAUGCAUAAUAUUGAUGAGAACAGCAAAUUCACUUCUGAAAAAGCAAGAUUUUUUUUUACUUAAUAAAGACAGCUAUUUAAAAUAUUUCUGAUCAUAUUAUAGUAAAAUAAUAGUAAAUCUUUGUUUCUUCUCCUUCUAGAAAUACUUAAAGAAAAUAAAAAUUCCUCCACAAUAAAACAGGCAACCACAGUAUCUAUGGGGCGUCCUUUGCACCUCUACCUUUCCCUGACCAAAGCUCUGAGGGCCCUAGUGAUCUCUUCCAGACAAGCAGAGCCCCAGGGAGUACUGGAGUCUCUUCCAGGCAAGAAGAAUUGUGGGGCGGGGAAAGAGCUGGAAUCUUCUUCUAGUGAAUCAGGGCUGAAUGCAGUUGUACUGCACUCCUGAGUUCCUCUGGAAGAACAGCCAGCAAGUGAGCACACCAGCCACAGGCAGACGUUAGUGGAAAAUGGCCCCUGUGUGCUGCUGUGCAGGCCUGAGCUCUCAGAAGGCGGCGUGCUCAUGUCUCAGGUCUGCUUUAACAGGCCUUUGCUGUACUUUGAAUGACACCUUUAAGAAGUCUGCUUUCCUCUUUCCUCGCUGUUCCUCUUCUUUCUUCCCUCCCCUCCCCUCCCCUCACCUCCCCUCCUCUCCCCUCUUCUUCUCUUUCCUUUUCUUUUCUUUUCUUUCCUGUUCAGUUCUGUUCUGUUCUGGUGGCAGGGGUAAGGACAGAAUCUAGGACCUGACAUGUUAUAGGCAAGGACUACAGCUCAGAGACAAAGUGACAAAGAGUCACAAACGGAGGCCUGUGGGAAGUAUAUCGGCUUCCUAAGGUUUAAGCUAAUGUGCUUUUAAAUAAUAAGACAGAGCAGCUACUAAGACUACCCAGACCCCGAAUUUUCUUAACCACAGUAAAACAAACAGCAUGUGUGCGAAGAUAGUAAUGGUUAGCUUUUGUGUAUAUAUUUUUAAUUGCUUUAUGUCAAUAUGUUCAUAUCACAGAUACUUUAGUGAGAGCCCAGUGAUGAGUUCAGCCUGAGGUGCAGGAGGAAUGACCAUGCUUCCUCUAAGUCCUCAGCUGGGACAAUCCCGUGUGCAGUAGCCUCCUGCACCCUGGGCUGCAGCAGUGGCAGGCAACAUUCUCCUAAGAGCAGGGCAAUUCCUUGCUGAGUGGGGGUUUUGUGAAUCCCAUAGCACACGUAGGCUGACGCUGUGCUAGAAUGUCUUGCCAUUGUUGUCCAGCAGCCCCUUCCAUGGCAAGUAGUCCACUCAGUUCUCAGGUUCAUCUUUACUUGUCCAGCCGUCAGGACUCUGCUACUAUGUUUUGUUCUGUUUAUGUUUUCUUUCAAACUGCAUCGGUUUCAAGUUUAGUAGAGACGUGGACUUUAGGUAGGCCUCCUUUGAGAAACGUGUACCAUUCAGUGGUGUUCACAGAUUUUAAAUCGAGGCCUGAGAAUGGUUUUAGAUUUUUGUCUCUUUUUGUGCCAGUCUGUGACUUCUAUUUGCUAAGUGACUUGACAGUAGUUUCCAAAAACAGAAAAAGGUGAAGUAUCUGGGCUAGCCUGUUCACCUCUGCUCUCUCAAGUCUGGGCAAAUGUCAGUUUCUUACAUGGUGAAGCCUGACAUUGAAAGAUGAAUGACUGUGCAGUGGGAAGCUGAGGUGUUCGAGUCCAGAUCCAUAGUCUCCGCAGUUCACAGAAGCGAGCUGAGGAGGAAAGCUCAGGAAGGAAGGACCAGAUCAGAACCAUAGCCUUUAAAAAAAUCAGCUUUCACACCCCAUUUGCGGUCUUCACCACUGGGCCACCAGUCAGCAGCCCAGCCUGCUGCAAGGAGAGAGCAUAUGAUGUAGGUAUUUUUUGUCAAGAUCAUCCUUUUAAUCGAACAUUGGUUGUUCCUUCUCAUCCUCAGUACAUUUUUGACCUAGAAACGCGCCCUAAGAACCGUCUGAAGACUUACCCCAGACUGAGUGGCCACUAAAGCCAUUACAGAUAAACACACGUCUGUGUUGCUCGGCU
ensembl:sense_intronic Gm15509 predicted gene 15509